UACGUAGGUCCCGAACGUUGCGCGAAUUUACUGGGCGUAAAGGGUCCGUAGGCGGUUUAGCAAGUGGUUGGUGAAAUUUCACGGCUCAACCGUGAAACUGCCUUCCAAACUGCUAAACUUGAGGCAGUGAGAGGUAGGCGGAAUUCCCGGUGUAGCGGUGAAAUGCGGAGAUAUCGGGAGGAACACCAGUGGCGAAGGCGGCCGACUGGAACUGUCCUGACGCUGAGGGAAGAAAGCUAGGGGAGCAAACCGG
rnacentral:rRNA from 1 species